AGGGCGCACGGUGGAUGCCUUGGCACUAGAAGCCGACGAAGGACGUUACUAACGACGAUAUGCUUUGGGUAGCUGUAAGUAAGCGUUGAUCCAGAGAUUUCCGAAUGGGGGAACCCAGCACGAGUUAUGUCGUGUUAUCGACAAGUGAAUUCAUAGCUUGUCAGAAGGCAGACCCGGAGAACUGAAACAUCUUAGUACCCGGAGGAAGAGAAAGAAAAAUCGAUUCCCUGAGUAGCGGCGAGCGAAACGGGAAGAGCCCAAACCAAUAAGCUUGCUUAUUGGGGUUGUAGGACACUCUAUACGGAGUUACAAAGGAAUAUAUUAGACGAAUCAUCUGGAAAGUUGAAUCAAAGAAGGUAAUAAUCCUGUAGUUGAAAAUAUAUUCUCUCUUGAGUGGAUCCUGAGUACGACGGAGCACGUGAAAUUCCGUCGGAAUCUGGGAGGACCAUCUCCUAAGGCUAAAUACUCUCUAGUGACCGAUAGUGAACCAGUACCGUGAGGGAAAGGUGAAAAGUACCCCGGAAGGGGAGUGAAAGAGAACUUGAAACCGUGUGCUUACAAGUAGUCAGAGCCCGUUAAUGGGUGAUGGCGUGCCUUUUGUAGAAUGAACCGGCGAGUUACGAUCUGAUGCAAGGUUAAGCAGGAAAUGUGGAGCCGUAGCGAAAGCGAGUCUGAAUAGGGCGUUGAGUAUUUGGUCGUAGACCCGAAACCAGGUGAUCUACCCAUGGUCAGGUUGAAGUUCAGGUAACACUGAAUGGAGGACCGAACCGACUUACGUUGAAAAGUGAGCGGAUGAACUGUGGGUAGCGGAGAAAUUCCAAUCGAACUUGGAGAUAGCUGGUUCUCUCCGAAAUAGCUUUAGGGCUAGCCUCAAGUGAUGAUUAUUGGAGGUAGAGCACUGUUUGGACGAGGGGCCCCUCUCGGGUUACCGAAUUCAGACAAACUCCGAAUGCCAAUUAAUUUAACUUGGGAGUCAGAACAUGGGUGAUAAGGUCCGUGUUCGAAAGGGAAACAGCCCAGACCACCAGCUAAGGUCCCAAAAUAUAUGUUAAGUGGAAAAGGAUGUGGCGUUGCCCAGACAACUAGGAUGUUGGCUUAGAAGCAGCCAUCAUUUAAAGAGUGCGUAAUAGCUCACUAGUCGAGUGACACUGCGCCGAAAAUGUACCGGGGCUAAACAUAUUACCGAAGCUGUGGAUUGUCCGUAGGACAAUGGUAGGAGAGCGUUCUAAGGGCGUUGAAGCAUGAUCGCAAGGACAUGUGGAGCGCUUAGAAGUGAGAAUGCCGGUGUGAGUAGCGAAAGACGGGUGAGAAUCCCGUCCACCGAUUGACUAAGGUUUCCAGAGGAAGGCUCGUCCGCUCUGGGUUAGUCGGGUCCUAAGCUGAGGCCGACAGGCGUAGGCGAUGGAUAACAGGUUGAUAUUCCUGUACCACCUAGCAUCGUUUUAAUCGAUGGGGGGACGCAGUAGGAUAGGCGAAGCGUACGAUUGGAUUGUACGUCCAAGCAGUGAGAUUGAGUGUUAGGCAAAUCCGGCACUCUUAAGAUUGAGCUGUGAUGGGGAGAGGAAAUUGUUUCCUCGAGUCGUUGAUUUCACACUGCCGAGAAAAGCCUCUAGAUAGAUAAUAGGUGCCCGUACCGCAAACCGACACAGGUAGUCAAGAUGAGAAUUCUAAGGUGAGCGAGCGAACUCUCGUUAAGGAACUCGGCAAAAUGACCCCGUAACUUCGGGAGAAGGGGUGCUCUUUAGGGUGCAAGCCCAGAAGAGCCGCAGUGAAUAGGCCCAAGCGACUGUUUAUCAAAAACACAGGUCUCUGCUAAACCGUAAGGUGAUGUAUAGGGGCUGACGCCUGCCCGGUGCUGGAAGGUUAAGAGGAGUGGUUAGCUUCUGCGAAGCUACGAAUCGAAGCCCCAGUAAACGGCGGCCGUAACUAUAACGGUCCUAAGGUAGCGAAAUUCCUUGUCGGGUAAGUUCCGACCCGCACGAAAGGCGUAACGAUUUGGGCACUGUCUCAACGAGAGACUCGGUGAAAUCAUAGUACCUGUGAAGAUGCAGGUUACCCGCGACAGGACGGAAAGACCCCGUGGAGCUUUACUGUAGCCUGAUAUUGAAAUUCGGCACAGCUUGUACAGGAUAGGUAGGAGCCUUUGAAACGUGAGCGCUAGCUUACGUGGAGGCGCUGGUGGGAUACUACCCUAGCUGUGUUGGCUUUCUAACCCGCACCACUUAUCGUGGUGGGAGACAGUGUCAGGCGGGCAGUUUGACUGGGGCGGUCGCCUCCUAAAAGGUAACGGAGGCGCUCAAAGGUUCCCUCAGAAUGGUUGGAAAUCAUUCAUAGAGUGUAAAGGCAUAAGGGAGCUUGACUGCGAGACCUACAAGUCGAGCAGGGUCGAAAGACGGACUUAGUGAUCCGGUGGUUCCGCAUGGAAGGGCCAUCGCUCAACGGAUAAAAGCUACCCCGGGGAUAACAGGCUUAUCUCCCCCAAGAGUUCACAUCGACGGGGAGGUUUGGCACCUCGAUGUCGGCUCAUCGCAUCCUGGGGCUGUAGUCGGUCCCAAGGGUUGGGCUGUUCGCCCAUUAAAGCGGUACGCGAGCUGGGUUCAGAACGUCGUGAGACAGUUCGGUCCCUAUCCGUCGUGGGCGUAGGAAAUUUGAGAGGAGCUGUCCUUAGUACGAGAGGACCGGGAUGGACAUACCUCUGGUGUACCAGUUGUCGUGCCAACGGCAUAGCUGGGUAGCUAUGUAUGGACGGGAUAAGUGCUGAAAGCAUCUAAGCAUGAAGCCCCCCUCAAGAUGAGAUUUCCCAACUUCGGUUAUAAGAUCCCUCAAAGAUGAUGAGGUUAAUAGGUUCGAGGUGGAAGCGUGGUGACACGUGGAGCUGACGAAUACUAAUCGAUCGAAGACUUAAUC
rnacentral:rRNA from 1 species